CCUACGGGAGGCAGCAGUGAGGAAUAUUGGUCAAUGGCCGGAAGGCUGAACCAGCCAAGCCGCGUGAAGGACGAAGGUGCCAAGGGUUGUAAACUUCUUUUGUCAGGGAGCAAAAUCAGGCUCGAGAGCCUGACCGAGGGUACUUGAAGAAAAAGCAUCGGCUAACUCCGUGCCAGCAGCCGCGGUAAUACGGAGGAUGCGAGCGUUAUCCGGAUUUAUUGGGUUUAAAGGGUGCGCAGGCGGGAUGUUAAGUCAGCGGUAAAAUCCCGCGGCUCAACCUCGGCGCGCCGUUGAAACUGGGUGUCUUGAGUGGGCGAGAGGUAUGCGGAAUGCGUAGUGUAGCGGUGAAAUGCUUAGAUAUCGCGCAGAACUCCGAUUGCGAAGGCAGCAUACCGGCGGCGAACUGACGCUCAUGCACGAAAGCGUGGGUAUCGAACAGGAUUAGAUACCCUUGUAGUC
rnacentral:rRNA from 1 species